GCCGCUCUAGCUCAACGGUAGAGCAACGGUAUCGUAAACCGUAGGCUGUCGGUUCAAGUCCGACGGGCGGCU
rnacentral:tRNA from 1 species